GGUUAAGUUAGAAAGGGCGCACGGUGGAUGCCUUGGCACUAGGAGCCGAUGAAGGACGGGACGAACACCGAUAUGCUUCGGGGAGCUGUAAGCAAGCUUUGAUCCGGAGAUUUCCGAAUGGGGAAACCCACCACUCGUAAUGGAGUGGUAUCCAUAUCUGAAUACAUAGGAUAUGAGAAGGCAGACCCGGGGAACUGAAACAUCUAAGUACCCGGAGGAAGAGAAAGCAAAUGCGAUUCCCUGAGUAGCGGCGAGCGAAACGGGACCAGCCCAAACCAAGAGGCAAGCCUCUUGGGGUUGUAGGACACUCUGUACGGAGUUACGAAGGAACGAGGUGGAUGAAGAGGUCUGGAAAGGCCCGCCAU
rnacentral:rRNA from 1 species